AAACUAAUGGAAAUCUAAAUGGUACAAAAUGCAACUUGACCAUUCCAUAAAGUGAAACUCCUAAAAGAAAGAAGAUCAAUGAAAGUAAUGGAAAAACACCACCACAGAAGACACCAUCACAAAAGAAGAAGAGAAAAGUAACAACAUAAUGUACUGAUGACAAUACUAAGACAAAGGUAAGUUUACAAUAUACAUUUUUGGCUCUAUUUAUUGUAGUAUCAAGAUUGAUUGAUUGUUGGUUGCUUAACGUCCAGUGGCAAAUAUUUCAUGCAUAUUCAGGACGAGAACAAGUUCACAAUAAAUACAAUAGGUAGGUUGAUACGAUAGAGGUCAUCUGGGAUGAUGGUCGGGGAAAUUUGGACUGCCAUUGGAAUAAAUAUGAAAUACUGGUUUCCCACGGCAUUCACUAAAAUUACAGCUUCCCUCUUAGACAUUAUUAUGUCAGCACAAUAUAUGAGCAAAC
rnacentral:lncRNA from 1 species